ACAGGCGCUUGCAGUAGCGGUGAUCGGUAAAAAUCUAGCUGCAACUUUGCCGAAGAAGUCCGAUCGUUUCGCUCCGCUGAUCGUCGAUUGAAAAAAGCCAUCGCCAAGAUUCCGAUCUUUAAGAACGAGAGACGUGAGUUUCGACGUCGCUGUACAAUAGAACGCAAUUGCUGGACGAAUUUCUUCUUUGAAACGUUGCAUUCGAAACACGAUAGCAAAGGCGAUGAAGAAAUCGAUUAUAAUCCGCUAUACCCUCAAUGAAGAGUUGCUGAUAAUGAAGAGUCUACGUCGAAUCAAUGAAA